rnacentral:rRNA from 1 species
CCUACGGGGGGCAGCAGUGAGGAAUAUUGGUCAAUGGGCGGGAGCCUGAACCAGCCAAGUCGCGUGAGGGAAGACGGUCCUAUGGAUUGUAAACCUCUUUAGGCGGGGAGCAAUGCCGGGCACGCGUGCCCGGAGGGAGAGUACCCGCAGAAUAAGCAUCGGCUAACUCCGUGCCAGCAGCCGCGGUAAUACGGAGGAUGCGAGCGUUAUCCGGAUUUAUGGGGUUUAAAGGGUGCGUAGGCGGAUUUUUAAGUCAGCGGUAAAAUGUCCGGGCUCAACCCGGGCCGGCCGUUGAAACUGGGGAUCUUGAGUGGGCGAGAAGUAUGCGGAAUGCGUGGUGUAGCGGUGAAAUGCAUAGAUAUCACGCAGAACUCCGAUUGCGAAGGCAGCAUACCGGCGCCCGACUAACGCUGAGGCACGAAAGCGUGGGGAUCGAACAGGAUUAGAUACCCCAGUAGUC